GACGUCGAUAUUCGACGUCAUAAACACGAUUAACUUUGGUGUUUAUGACGUCGAUAUUCGACGUCAUAAACCCAUUCAACUUUGGUGGUAAACUUUGGUUGGAAAAAGAUAAAUUUUUUUAUAAAAUUCGUCGAUAUUCGACGUCAUAAACACGAUCGACUUUGGUGUUUAUGACGUCGAUAUUCGACGUC
rnacentral:miRNA from 1 species